UACAGAGGGGGCAAGCGUUAUUCGGAAUUAUUGGGCGUAAGGGCGCGUAGGCGGCCUGGCAAGUGGAAGGUGAAAUCCCUCGGCUUAACCGAGGAACUGCCCUCCAAACUGCUUGGCUUGAGUCGGGAGAGGUGAGUGGAAUUCCCGAGUGUAGCGGUGAAAUGCGUAGAUAUUGGGAGAACACCAGUGGCGAAGGCGGCUCACUGGACCGGAACUGACGCUGAGGCGCGAAAGCGUGGG
rnacentral:rRNA from 1 species